AGGGAGCUCCCUCUCAGCUGUUGCUGGGGACGCCAGGAGAGGCGGAAAAGGACGCGGAGGCGAGUUGAGGCAACCCCUGGACUACCGACCGAGGGGACACCGGCACGGAGCUCGCAGCUGGCUGGGCAGAGAUGGAAGGACAAAUCUCCAUGAGACAUUCAGUCUGAAGAUGGAGUCCAUGCUCCAGCCAUGGGAUCUUUAAUGGCAAUGGGUGAUCUGGCCCUGCGGAACCUUCCGGCGACCACCACAGAGAAAACAAUGUUCCCCCAAGACCAUGCUGGGAUAUUGGUUCAGUGUUGACUUGAGCUGCACAUUUGAAACUCUAACUUACGCCUGGGGAAAUGAGCGGCAACCUCCCAGAGGCAGAACUCCCUUAGAGAGAAAAGGGGCCAUCAGAGAUACAGAUUGAUAGUAUAAGCCAGCACUACAAAGACCCAAGAGUGUUGCUCCGUAUUGAAAAGGACCAUAAAGGAAACUGCAUUGGAAACAGUCUAAAUAAAAACACCACCGAUGUUAUCGCUAGCAGAAAUAUUGAUCUUUGUU